GGCUACCACAUCUAAGGAAGGCAGCAGGCGCGUAAAUUACCCACUCCCAGUUCGGGGAGGUAGUGACGAAAAAUAACAAUACAGGACUCAUAUCCGAGGCCCUGUAAUUGGAAUGAGUACACUUUAAAUCCUUUAACAAGGACCAAUUGGAGGGCAAGUCUGGUGCCAGCAGCCGCGGUAAUUCCAGCUCCAAUAGCGUAUAUUAAAGUUGUUGCGGUUAAAACGUUCGUAGUUGAACUUGUGCUUCAUACGGGUAGUACAACUACAAUUGUGGAUUGUACAUUACUUUAUGUAUGCAAGCGUAUUAUCGGUGGAGUUCUAAUAUUUUAUUGAUACUUGUAUUAAUAUUAUAUACCUCCUAUACAAAACCUGCCUCAGUGCUCUUCAUCGAGUGCUGUUGUGGGCCGAUACAGUUACUUUGAACAAAUUAGAGUGCUUAAAGCAGGCUCCAAAUGCCUGAAUAUUUUGUGCAUGGAAUAAUGAAAUAAGACUUCUGAUCUACUUUCAUUGGUUUUUAGAUCAAGAGGUAAUGAUUAAUAGAAGCAGUUUGGGGGCAUUAGUAUUACGACGCGAGAGGUGAAAUUCUUGGACCGUCGUAAGACUAACUUAAGCGAAAGCAUUUGCCAAAGAUGUUUUCAUUAAUCAAGAACGAAAGUUAGAGGUUCGAC
rnacentral:rRNA from 1 species